GUUAUUUAAAACCUUUAUUAAGGCUUGGAGAAAGAUAAUGCAAUGUGACAAAGUACAGAUCCUGCUGCCUAAAUCCCUAACAGAAACAGAUCUUAUAACUUAUCACGGUGCCGAUGCUGAGAUCACACGAGGGCUGCUCUUCGUUAGGAAAACGGGCCCUGGAAGCGUUGUUUGUCCAUGUUAUUCUAAACGAAGCCUUUUCCUAGGUUCGAGCUGAAAUUUCUGUGUGUGUGUCUGUGUGUGAAAGUACAGCUACAGCUCUGGGCUAGCAUUUUCUAUUUAUUUAGUUUUGAGUGUCAGCAUUUCACUCUACUAAGGCCUCUCAUUUCAGAAUAACAGGGCUAUUUAUUGAUACAAAGGAGAGGUGUUCGGAUCAUCUUGUUAAGAUGCAAGGCUCAAAAUAAACAUCAUAUCUUUAUUUGGAAAUCCACAUCCUUCCUCAAAGGAAGGCUCAGGAGUAAAUUUGUAUGAAGUACGAAGCCCCAAGUGGAGGGUCUAAUUUUAAGGACGACUUUGCUUACAUUUUAGACUGUACAAAUGCCUCUGUCCAUGCUUACAGGAAUUUGGAUUUUCCCCAGUUUU
rnacentral:lncRNA from 1 species